UACGGGGGGAGCAAGCGUUGUUCGGAUUUACUGGGCGUAAAGGGCGCGUAGGCGGCGUGACAAGUCACUUGUGAAAUCUCCGGGCUUAACUCGGAACGGUCAAGUGAUACUGUCGUGCUAGAGUACAGAAGGGGCAACUGGAAUUCUCGGUGUAGCGGUGAAAUGCGUAGAUAUCGAGAGGAACACCUGCGGCGAAGGCGGGUUGCUGGGCUGAUACUGACGCUGAGGCGCGUAAGCCAGGGGAGCGAACGGG
rnacentral:rRNA from 1 species